UCUUUCAAAUUAUCGUUCUUU
rnacentral:piRNA from 1 species